rnacentral:tRNA from 1 species
GGGGAUUUGGCUCAGUGGUAGAGUGCUUGCCUAGCAAGCACAAGGUCCUGGGUUCGGUCCCCAGCUCCG